GAUGAACGCUGGCGGCGUGCCUAAUACAUGCAAGUCGAGCGAACGGACGAGAAGCUUGCUUCUCUGAUGUUAGCGGCGGACAGGUGAGUAACACGUGGAUAACCUACCUAUAAGACUGGGAUAACUUCGGGAAACCGGAGCUAAUACCGGAUAAUAUUUUGAACCGCAUGGUUCAAAAGUGAAAGACGGUCUUGCUGUCACUUAUAGAUGGAUCCGCGCUGCAUUAGCUAGUUGGUAAGGUAACGGCUUACCAAGGCAACGAUGCAUAGCCGACCUGAGAGGGUGAUCGGCCACACUGGAAUUGAGACACGGUCCAGACUCCUACGGGAGGCAGCAGUAGGGAAUCUUCCGCAAUGGGCGAAAGCCUGACGGAGCAACGCCGCGUGAGUGAUGAAGGUCUUCGGAUCGUAAAACUCUGUUAUUAGGGAAGAACAUAUGUGUAAGUAACUGUGCACAUCUUGACGGUACCUAAUCAGAAAGCCACGGCUAACUACGUG
rnacentral:rRNA from 1 species